CCUUUGGAGUAUUAUAUCAAUGUUAGUAGUUCUACGGAACAAGGACAGAUACAAUGAAAAGGAA
rnacentral:ncRNA from 1 species